ensembl:lncRNA
UCUGUGUGUGUUUAUAUGACAUGACACGUCUGUGUGUGUUUAUAUGACAUGACACGUCUGUGUGUGUUUAAAUGACAUGACACGUCUGUGUGUGUGUUUAAAUGACAUGACACGUCUGUGUGUGUUUAUAUGACAUGACACGUCUGUGUGUGUUUAAAUGACAUGACACGUCUGUGUGUGUUUAAAUGACAUGACACGUCUGUGUGUGUUUAAAUGACAUGACACGUCUGUGUGUGUUUAAAUGACAUGACACGUCUGUGUGUGUUUAUAUGACAUGACACGUCUGUGUGUGUUUAUAUGACAUGACACGUCUGUGUGUUUUGUAGUUUGGGUAUUGGGGUGAAAGGUGUACAGUAGAGCUGGGAGAUAUGAAAAAAACAUUAUCCAUGUCACAAUAACUGGCUGAAUUAUCACGUUAAUGAUGAAUUGAACAAUGUUUAUUCAUCUGCACCAGUUAUGUGUUUAGAUUACCCUUAGUAGGGCUGACUCCAAUCAGUCCACUGGUCCAUUGUUUGGUCCUUAGGCUGUUGGUCGACUGAGAUUGUUUUAGUUGAGCAGUAAAACAUAUAUAUUUUCACCUAUCUCAGUGAACUCAUCCAUUGCUGAGGCCUAGACCAAAAGCCAAUUUAUGCUUGAUUUGAAAUUGUGGUGGAGCCUCCAGAGGCCAAAUUGAGCUCUAUACCACUUCACUAUGUCCCUCCCAAAUGUUGUACCAAUGUGGAGGGCUCUGUAUAGCUCCACGAUGACAUGAUUGGUUCACGGUAGGUGAGGGUGGUACAUCCUGUAUAAACACACUCCCUUGACAACAGCUCUGCACUGCUCCGUAAGGAGUAUGAAUGCCCUGACUUCUACUGAGGUCCUUCUUGCCCUGACUUAUACUGAGUCCCUUCUUGCCCUGACUUCUGCUGAGGCUGUUCUUGCCCUGACUUCUGCUGAGGCUGUUCUUGCCCUGACUUCUGCUGAGUCCCUUCUUGCCCUGACUUCUACUGAGGCCCUUCUUGCCCUGACUUCUACUGAGGCCGUAUCACUGUAAAUGCUGCAUGGCCAAUGCAAACGUCAGAUUGACCAUGCACCCAGAUGCACAAUGCACUUCUCCAACCAGAAUGCACUUCUCUCUCCAGAAUGCACUUCUCUCCC